rnacentral:rRNA from 1 species
GAUGAACGCUGGCGGCGUGCCUAAUACAUGCAAGUCGAGCGAACAGACGAGGAGCUUGCUCCUCUGACGUUAGCGGCGGACGGGUGAGUAACACGUGGAUAACCUACCUAUAAGACUGGGAUAACUUCGGGAAACCGGAGCUAGUACCGGAUAACAUGUUGAACCGCAUGGUUCAACAGUGAAAGACGGUUUUGCUGUCACUUAUAGAUGGAUCCGCGCCGCAUUAGCUAGUUGGUAAGGUAACGGCUUACCAAGGCAACGAUGCGUAGCCGACCUGAGAGGGUGAUCGGCCACACUGGAACUGAGACACGGUCCAGACUCCUACGGGAGGCAGCAGUAGGGAAUCUUCCGCAAUGGGCGAAAGCCUGACGGAGCAACGCCGCGUGAGUGAAGAAGGUCUUCGGAUCGUAAAACUCUGUUAUUAGGGAAGAACAAAUGUGUAAGUAACUAUGCACGUCUUGACGGUACCUAAUCAGAAAGCCACGGCUAACUACGUG